rnacentral:rRNA from 1 species
AGCAGUAGCCGCGGUAAAACAGAGGGUGCGAGCGUUAAUCGGAUUUACUGGGCGUAAAGCGUGCGUAGGCGGCUUCUUAAGUCGGAUGUGAAAUCCCUGAGCUUAACUUAGGAAUUGCAUUCGAUACUGGGAAGCUAGAGUAUGGGAGAGGAUGGUAGAAUUCCAGGUGUAGCGGUGAAAUGCGUAGAGAUCUGGAGGAAUACCGAUGGCGAAGGCAGCCAUCUGGCCUAAUACUGACGCUGAGGUACGAAAGCAUGGGGAGCAAACAGGAUUAGAUACCCGGGUAGUCCCUGUCUCUUAUAU